rnacentral:rRNA from 1 species
GAGACCCACGCCAACAGUUGCCAGCUCGUCCUCCGGGAUGGUGGGGACACUGUUGGGACCGCCUCUGCUAAAGAGGAGGAAGGAAUGGGCAACGGUAGGUCAGCAUGCCCCGAAUUAUCCGGGCUACACGCGGGCUACAAUGGGUGGGACAAUGGGUAUCGACACCGAGAGGUGAAGGCAAUCUCCUAAACCCAUCCUUAGUUCGGAUUGUGGGCUGCAACUCGCCCACAUGAAGCUGGAAUCCGUAGUAAUCGUGUUUCAAAAUAGCACGGUGAAUAU